GGUGUAGGACGAGUGGUAGGCAAAUCCGCCACUCACAUAGUCUGAGACCUGAUGCCGAGCCGAUUGUGGUGAAGUGGAUGAUCCUAUGCUGUCGAGAAAAGCCUCUAGCGAGUUUCAUGGCGGCCCGUACCCUAAACCGACUCAGGUGGUCAGGUAGAGAAUACCGAGGCGUUCGGGUGAACUAUGGUUAAGGAACUCGGCAAAAUGCCCCCGUAACUUCGGGAGAAGGGGGGCCAUCACCGGUGAGAGGAUUUACUCCUUGAGCUGGGGGUGGCCGCAGAGACCAGCGAGAAGCGACUGUUUACUAAAAACACAGGUCCGUGCGAAGCCGUAAGGCGAUGUAUACGGACUGACGCCUGCCCGGUGCUGGAACGUUAAGGGGACCGGUUAGUCACAAUUCGUUGUGGCGAAGCUGAGAACUUAAGCGCCAGUAAACGGCGGUGGUAACUAUAACCAUCCUAAGGUAGCGAAAUUCCUUGUCAGGUAAGUUCCGACCUGCACGAAUGGCGUAACGACUUCUCGACUGUCUCAACCAUAGGCCCGGUGAAAUUGCACUACGAGUAAAGAUGCUCGUUUCGCGCAGCAGGACGGAAAGACCCCGGGACCUUUACUACAGUUUGAUAUUGGUGUUCGGUUCGGCUUGUGUAGGAUAGCUGGGAGACUGUGAACUCUGGACGCCAGUUCAGGGGGAGUCGUCGUUGAAAUACCAGUCUGGUCGUGCUGGAUGUCUAACCUGGGUCCGUGAUCCGGAUCAGGGACAGUGUCUGAUGGGUAGUUUAACUGGGGCGGUUGCCUCCUAAAGAGUAACGGAGGCGCCCAAAGGUUCCCUCAGCCUGGUUGGCAAUCAGGUGUUGAGUGUAAGUGCACAAGGGAGCUUGACUGUGAGACCGACGGGUCGAGCAGGGACGAAAGUCGGGACUAGUGAUCCGGCGGUGGCUUGUGGAAGCGCCGUCGCUCAACGGAUAAAAGGUACCCCGGGGAUAACAGGCUGAUCUUCCCCAAGAGUCCAUAUCGACGGGAUGGUUUGGCACCUCGAUGUCGGCUCGUCGCAUCCUGGGGCUGGAGUCGGUCCCAAGGGUUGGGCUGUUCGCCCAUUAAAGCGGUACGCGAGCUGGGUUUAGAACGUCGUGAGACAGUUCGGUCCCUAUCCGCUGCGCGCGCAGGAACAUUGAGAAGGGCUGUCCCUAGUACGAGAGGACCGGGACGGACGAACCUCUGGUGUGCCAGUUGUUCUGCCAAGGGCAUGGCUGGUUGGCUACGUUCGGGAGGGAUAACCGCUGAAAGCAUCUAAGCGGGAAGCCUGCUUCGAGAUGAGUGUUCCCACCCACUAGAUGGGUUAAGGCUCCCAGUAGACGACUGGGUUGAUAGGCCGGAUCUGGAAGGCGGGUAACCGCUGGAGGUGACCGGUACUAAUAGGCCGAGGGCUUGUCCUC
rnacentral:rRNA from 1 species